GAUGUUUUGGACGUCGUCCUCCAACAUUCGGUUGUGGUGGCAUAAUUCGCCAAUGGCGGCUCGUAUCUUUGUCAUGACCUCAACAUCUCUUGUAUCGUUGAUACCCUCAAGAAUAAGGGAUGAAUCUCUUCUGUUCAACAUGUCUUGUAAUGGUCAUAAUUGGGAAUUAAGGUUACGACAGGGACAGUGAUGAUUUUUUAGAGAGAGGUGUGGCUCAGGUUAGUUCUAUCGGGCCUCACGGAGGACAUCACUGUAAUGUCCAAAAAAAUACAUGAUGUGUGUGUG
rnacentral:lncRNA from 1 species